GAAUUUGCUAACUUUCUCAAUCAAUUUGAAUUUUUUGACUGUAGGUAUCUAAACUUAUUAAAAACGCACAACAUUUUUCUAUUUUCUCCUGCUGAAUGAUGGUGCUGGAGAAUUCACAAGAACAAGAACAGUUCACAGGGUAAGAAAGAGAAGAAAAUAACCAUAAGGGCAUAAACGUACACUGAACAUUCCUCUACUCAAAACUCAACUAGGAUGCGCGUCAAGCAGCAGGCAGGCAGGACCCUCCGGUGACGGUCACGGGAGAUCGAGAUGGAAAGAAGAUUUUUCUUCCUACAACAAAAAGAAGAAAAUAUGAUGACGAUGGAUGCUGUCGCUGUUCAGGCAAAUAGUUUUCCACUUCAACAUCCAACUUUCACCUGCAGUUUUUGUUUUAACGUUUCGUUUUUUGAUUUAUGCAAAUAAACUUGAAUUAUUACCGUUA